rnacentral:lncRNA from 13 species
UGCUUACAAUUGCCAGAUAACCCCGCCUUACACGACCACGUCAUUUCUUGAAUAAUCGGGCUUUCAUUUAUAAUAUUUAUUAUUCCUUCCACCGUAUACGGAAAUAAUUUCAAUGCGCUCGUUUACAACACAAGACCUGAAAUAUGUUUCGUCGAGUCACUAUUUUCAGUUUUUUUGCAACAAACAGUAAUUACUUGGCCAAAUUUUAAAACUUCUUCACCUUCGUUCAUGUUUCGACUAUUGAAAUUUGCUUUUGCAAAUUCAUAUAUUUGAGAUAGUCGUAGAAACAUGAUGCCAAAGAAGGAAAAAUAACCACGUGACCAGAGUAACACUAGUGCCACUAUCGGUCGUGAGCAUCGCGAAUAUGUAAGAUUGCACUGUUGCUGCAAGAUUCUGUCCCAGGAUAAACAUUUUAAACAAUAUCUUCAUUAACGAAGUGACAACACGAAAAAAAUAAGUGUAAAUGAAUAAAUAAAUGAAAAAAUUAAGUUUUGUUUUUUGCGAUUUUCUGCAAAAUGGAGCUAAAACAAACAAAAUGCCAAGACUUUUCUUUCAGUUUAUUGAGUAUUCAUAAACUCCUGAAAUUUUGAUUGACAUUUAAAUUCGGGCAUCCUGUAUGUAGAAUAGAAUAUGUAUAUUUUUGUUAUAAUUAUCGUUAUAAAUAUAUUAAUAAUUAUAUUAAUGUGUGAUGAAGAAAUGUAUGUACAGUUGCAUUUUGCAUAUUUUUGCAGUUGCACACAUUCGCUAUUUUCUCUGAUAUUUUUGCGAUUAUUGUUUGUUAAAUUACACAUACAUAAAAAUUGUAUUUUUUAAUUUGCUGUUAAUUUUUUUUUAAUGCAGCAUUGUACUAUAAAAUUGUACAAAAAUUUAGAAACGCUUGUGAUUUUCUUGCAUCUUACAAAAAUUAAAUAUUUUGGUUAAAAAAAAUUUUUAAAUUUUAAAAAUUUUAAAGAGGAAAAACAAAGCUUUAAACAUAAAAUUAAAAUAAUGUGCUAGACUCAUGUGUGCAAAGCUAACUAAAAAACUUAAAAAGACUAGAAAACCAUAAAUUCUAACAGUGUUAAAGUGCAAAAAAAACUUUUUUUAAUUAAUGGCAAUUAAAAAACAUCACAAAAUCUUCAACUAAAUAAUACUGAACCAAUAUAUAAAACAUCACAUGAAUUUAAGAGCUACAAAAAAAAAUUUAAAGUCAUUCGUUAUAAAUCAAUGAAAAAAACACAAAAAAUUAUAUCAAACUAUUAUAAAGAGCUUUAAACAUGUUUAUUUUGUCCCUACGAUAUUUUAUUAUUAAAUUACAUAAAAUUAAAAACCAAUAUUUUUACAAUAAUUUUAUUUUAAAGUGCAGUAGUUUAAUGAAAUAUUAUUCAAUAAACAUUAACAAAAAAUUAUUUUAAAAUAAGCUUUAAAAUAGCUUUUUUUAAAUUAAUGCGAUUAUUUCUUGUAAUGAUGUUGAACUCUUUGUAAAACCUCAUUUCUUAUGAAAUGUGUUUUAACUUUUGAAACUAAAGAGUUUACAGAAGAAAAAUAAAAUAUGUUGGUUACAAUGUACUUGAUUUGCAGAAAUUUUUUCAAAAUUUUUAAAAAUCUUUAUAUUUAAUUUUUCGUGAAGUCCCAGAAAAGUAUAAUUACAAUAUCUAAAUUUUUCAUUUUACUAUGUUGACUCAUUUAUUAAACUUCAUAUGUGAUUUUUAUAGAUUUUUUCACGCUGAAUUCAAAUCCGACCUAUGUCUCCACCAUUUCAGAAUUACGUUCUGAAAUUCACUGCAAAUACUGAAAAUUUAUUAUUUACAUUUAAAAAAGAUAAUUUAAAGAUAUUUUUUUAUAGUAUUGAUAUUAUAGAAAAAUUAAAAAAAAGUUCAAAAAAAUUGGAAAAAUUUAAUUGUCUAUGUAUUAAUCAUAAACUUAUUCUUGAAAUUUGAUUUUGUUUUUUAUAAAAAAAUUGAAGAACUUUCCUAUUUCAUGAAUUGAGCUUUUAACGUAUUUUGUGGAUCUAUUUUACUGAAUGUAAGUGAAAAUAUGUAAAAAUAUUAGUUUAUUUCGAUGUACAUUACAUGAAAUAAAUUCAUGUCUGACAUCAUAGUUCAAUAUGCAAUAAGGAAACGAAAACUUUAUUAAAUCAUAGAUGUAGCUUUUAAAAUAUUACAUUGUCUGCGUCGUAUGUUUACUUCGAUUGUUGUUAAUUGUACUAAUGUUAUAUUUUGGAAAAAGGAGAAAUAUUAAACAAUGUGAUUGAGUAAUCGGCCUGUUUAUUUACAGCGAUUACCCUAUGUACAAUGUGAUAGUACGGAUUACCCUGAGUAAACCGUUGUUACAAAUUAAAUUUAUUGUGCUUCCAUUAGUUAUGGAACUGGCACAAUUAGCAUCCUAUAUUUCCUAUUUGUAAAACACAACUGUUUUCUCUAAUCUUGCGGCAGUGUUGCCUGUUGACGCUUGUUGUAUAAUGCUGCAGAAUAAAUAUUCCAAAAUAAAAUGGGA